GGUAAGUGGAGGGGUCACGAUGCGUAUAGCAAAGGUCCGACUUAAAACCCACUUUCCUCGAACAGAAACUGUCUCCCUUCAAUCACUUAGAGGGACAAAGCUUGCCUAGACAUCGACCGGGGUCAUAGAGCGAAAUUGGUGCAACUUUCAGUGGUCUUCGUCCUAUUGAGCUCGAAUAUCCUUAGGGGCCAACGUCUAGUUGAUUUUAAUUAGGCUUAGGAUAUU
rnacentral:lncRNA from 1 species